GAUGAACGCUAGCUACAGGCUUAACACAUGCAAGUCGAGGGACCGGCGCACGGGUGAGUAACACGUAACCAACCUGCCCUUUACUCGGGGACAGCCUUUCGAAAGAUAGAUUAAUACCCGAUAUAAAGGAUGGGGAUGCGUUCCAUUAGGUUGUUGGUGAGGUAACGGCCCACCAAGCCUUCGAUGGAUAUGGGUUCUGAGAGGAAGGUCCACCACAUUGGAGCGGAGACCCAGUCCAAACUCCGACGGGAGGCAGCAGUGGGGAAUAUUGGUCAAUGGGCGUUAGCCUGAACCAGCCAAGUAGCGUGAAGGAUGAAGGCUUUUGGGUCUUAAACUUCUUGUAAAUAAGAAGAUGUAUUAUCUGAAUAAGGAUCGGCUAACUCCGUGCCAGCAGCCGCGGUAAUUC
rnacentral:rRNA from 1 species